rnacentral:rRNA from 1 species
CAUGUCUUUUUGAAAAUUUUAAAAAGUUUGACCUGCCCAAUGAUUAAUUUAAUGGCCGCAGUAUUUUAACUGUGCAAAGGUAGCAUAAUCAUUAGUUUUUUAAUUGAAAGCUGGAAUGAAUGGUUUGAUGAAAAAUUAACUGUCUCUUUAUUAAUUUUAAAAUUUUAUUUUUAAGUGAAAAAGCUUAAAUUUUCUAAUUAGACGAGAAGACCCUAUAGAGUUUAAUAUAAAAUAAGUUUAUAAUUUUUGGGUUUUUUAUAUUAUAAAUUUUUUAUAUAUUUUGUUGGGGUGAUAAAAAAAUUUAAAUAACUUUUAAAUUUGAAAUCAUUAAUUUAUGAAUAAUUGAUCCUAAAAUUUAGAUUAAAAGAAAAAAUUACCUUAGGGAUAACAGCGUAAUUUUUUUUUAAAGUUCAAAUUAAAAAAAAAAAUUACGACCUCGAUGUUGGAUUAAAAUUUAUUAUUGGUGAAGAAGCUAGUAUAUUAGGUCUGUUCGACCUUUAAAAUU